CGGGGUGUGACUCAGCCUGGUAGAGUGUCACGUUCGGGACGUGAAAGUCGGAGGUUCGAAUCCUCUCACCCCGA
rnacentral:tRNA from 1 species